rnacentral:lncRNA from 1 species
GGAGAGUAGAGUAGAGAGGAGAGUAGAGGAGAGAGGAGUGUAGAGGAGAGAGGAAAGAGGAGAGUAGGUGAGAGAAGAGAGUAGAGGAGAGAGGAGAAGAGUAGAGGAGAGAGGAGAGUAGAGGAGAGAGGAGAGUAGAGGUGAGAGGAGAGUAGUGGAGAGAAGAGGAGAAGACAGAGGGAGAGAUAGAAGGGUCACGAUCAGAUGAGGUCAUGCAUUUUUCUGCAUGUUCUUAAAAAAAGAUAGAUUUAGAGUUAGAUAAACUUGGAUUUUUUGUCAGGAACAUAUACAGGAUGCUACCCUCUACAACAUAACCUUCACUCCAAAUCAAAACUCAAAACCUACAACCUGAUUUUGGAUGGAAUUACGGAAUCACCUGGAAGGUUUACAACUACCAAGGAUUAUUAUUCCAACGCUAUACAGCAAAUUCUCUGGAAACAACAGAAGCCUGAAAACACCAUCCAACCUGGAACUGAGAGAGUCAUGUUUAGUCUGAAGCUAUAUUUUAUUU